GAAAUGCGAUAAGUAAUGUGAAUUGCAGAAUUCAGUGAAUCAUCGAAUCUUUGAACGCACAUUGCGCCCGCCAGCACUCUGGCGGGCAUGCCUGUUCGAGCGUCAUUUCAACCCUCAGAACCCCUUGCGGGAUCUGGCGUUGGGGAUUGUCAUCCAGCCAGCCCCGAAAUCUAGUGGCGGUCCCUUCGCGACCUCCCCUGUGCAGUAGCGAUACCUCGCAGCGGGACAGCGGUCUGACCACGCCGUAAAACCCCCAACUUCUCAAGGUUGACCUCGAAUCAGGUAGGAAUACCCGCUGAACUUAAGC
rnacentral:misc_RNA from 1 species